CAAGGCGUUGUUCCAUCUCUCCAUCGUCUGCCUGCCCACCGUGCGAUCAAAACAGGGGAAUUACCGUCUUCCAAAUAGGGGAAUUACCGUUGCCCGUACAUAGGUCAUCACGCCACCUUGCUUGUAGCUUAUGGCGUGAUGUCAGUUGAACCUAUCACGGCCGCCGUGCCCGCCUGCCCUCCUUUUUUUUCUCCCAGCCUAGUUGCUGCGUUCGAUCAAAACUAGGUAAGUUACCCAUGUCCAGAUUAUGGCGUGAUGUCAGUUGAACCUAUCACGGCGCCGCCGUGCCCGCCUGCCCUCCUUUUUUUCUCCCAGUCUAGCUGCCUUCUUCCAGCCGUGUGCUCCUCAAAAGCCGUUAGUCGCCGGUAACGGAUCUUGAGGAAGGACGUCUCGACCUAGACUGUGCGCUUGGAAUUCAUUGGAGCUGCCCUUGGAUUUCGCUCCCGGAGUAGCUUCCUUUCCGGAUUUUCGGCUUCUCUGCGGGUUUCGGCGAAGCACGAGGAUUUCCCGAGCUCGUGGGCCCCGGUUUGGGAUUUAAAUUCAAUCCGGCCGGUCACAAUGGACGAGGAACAAAGUCCAGGCGGAGAGGAGGUGGACGUGGAAGCGGCACUUUGGGAGGUGUGCCUCGAGGAUUGGGGCGGGUCAAUGCGUUGAUCAGAUGGUGUAGGAUGGAUGCCAUUGAGGACCCCAAUGAGGCCCGAUUGGCAAAUACUUUGCUUCUGACGAGGCUUAGUUUGGAUGUGAUUGGUGGUUGGGCCAAUCUUUGGGCACGUCUCGGAUGAAGAGUUGUGGCCUGCCUGCAUGAUUGUGUGCCCGCAAUGGACCAUCGGAUCAUCACCGUUUUUGAUUGGUUUGCAAACAACGGCCUCACACAUGGAGCGGUUUUUUUUUUCUUUCAAUUUGGAUUUCGCAUUCCACUGGUUUGUUCGCUCAUUCCAGGGUCCAGAAAACGAGCCAUCAUCAAACCAACCAUCAAGUCAACCAUCAAGUCAACCACACCGUUGGCCGGCACAUUCAGCUGACGCUUCAUUGCACAUCAGUAACCAGAGAUCAUAAGCCUCAUAAGAUCACGACCAGAUUCCAAUGUCCAAUGUGUGUGCCAGUGUGCCAGUCUAAAAUUUAAAGUGAUAUGAAGUGAUCCCAUUGGAAGGUCCAUUGGGUGGGAUGUUUGUUAAAGAACGCAGUAAGUGGGUGUGCGAUGAUUGAUUGUACACUGUUCAAUCAAUGCUGAAUGAAGCCAUGAGUGGGCCUUUGCUUGCGCCUGAUGUCAAACUGACAUUCAACAUAACGUAUUGGGAGCAUGUUUGGAGGAAUGGUUCAAGCCCAUCAAGCAUCUAAGUGUUAUUCGCCUAUUCGCCGUUCGCCAUGUACGUAUGGGUACACUGUGACCGUAAAGUUUCUGCACCAUUGAAGUCUAGCGGCAUUUUAUAUUUCUCGCUUCAUAUGCACGGCUUCUGAGAAUAAAGUAGAUAUUUGGUUAACCAAA